rnacentral:rRNA from 1 species
GACGAACGCUGGCGGCGUGCUUAACACAUGCAAGUCGAGCGGAGCGGCGAACGGGUGAGUAACGCGUGAGUAACUGCCCCCCUCUCUGGGAUAACAGUUGGAAACGGCUGCUAAUACCGGAUAGUGGGGGAUGACUCGCGUCCUAUCAGCUUGUGGGUGGGGUAGGGGCCUACAAAGGCGACGACGGGUAGCCGUCCUGGGAGGGCGACCGGCCACAGUGGGCUUAGAUACGGCCCAAACGCCGACGGGAGGAAGGAGUGGGGAAUAGGGCACAAUGGGGGAAACCCUGACGCAGCAACGCCGCGUGCGGGAUGACGGCCUUCGGGUUGUAAACCGCUUUCAGCCAGGACGCGGUAGUGGCAGAAGAAGCACCGGCUAACUACGUGCCAGCAGCCGCGGUAAUAC